rfam:Hordeum vulgare subsp. vulgare, WGS project CAJW01000000 data, contig: morex_contig_43403
GAAAUACUUCCUUUGUCUUAAAAUUAUUGUCUUAGAUUUAUCUAGAUAUGAAUGUAUGUAGUCACGUUUUAGUAUUNAGAUACAUCCAUUUCUAGACAAAUUUAAGACAAGAAUUUUAGGACGGAGGGAGUAUGUA